rnacentral:rRNA from 1 species
AACGAACGCUGGCGGCAGGCCUAACACAUGCAAGUCGAGCGCGCCCUUCGGGGUGAGCGGCGGACGGGUGAGUAACGCGUGGGAACGUGCCCUUUGCUUCGGAAUAGCCUCGGGAAACUGAGAGUAAUACCGAAUGUGCCCUUCGGGGGAAAGAUUUAUCGGCAAAGGAUCGGCCCGCGUUGGAUUAGGUAGUUGGUGGGGUAAUGGCCUACCAAGCCGACGAUCCAUAGCUGGUUUGAGAGGAUGAUCAGCCACACUGGGACUGAGACACGGCCCAGACUCCUACGGGAGGCAGCAGUGGGGAAUCUUAGACAAUGGGCGCAAGCCUGAUCUAGCCAUGCCGCGUGAGCGAUGAAGGCCUUAGGGUUGUAAAGCUCUUUCAGAUGGGAAGAUAAUGACUGUACCAUCAGAAGAAGCCCCGGCUAACUCCGUGCCAGCCGCCGCCGUAAUAC